UAUAAUAUAUCCUCUGCAAUUCUACGGUCGUAAACGUAAUUGCCUGGGUCCAUUGGAGAAAGCAAGAAAAACAUAUGAGAGACUGAAGGAGAAAAGAUAACAUAGAGGAAAAAAAAGUAUUUCAAGAGUUCGAGAUUGAUUAAAAGGGCAUUCUAACUGUUGCUAACACGUUCUAUAAUCAAUCUUCAUGUUUGAGUUUGUUAUGUUUGUAAAAUGUGGUUUGGUCGUCAAUGCAGUUUAUGCGCCAUAUUGAGUUGCUUCAUAUAGUUUAUAUAUUAUCAUAUUAGUUGAAGCUCCAUAUUAGUUUUGCAAUUUGUUAUUUAAUAAAUUAGUUGAUGGUUUUACACCUAAAUAUCACUUAAAUUAUCAAACAUGAGACGGACAAAACCGCACUUCCGUACGCGCCCCCGCGCGUGCACGAACAGUAGUAUAUAUAUGAUAGAACAAAAAAGGAUUUAGUGAAGAUUUCAGAAUUUCCUGAUGCAAACUAUCAACUUUCAAAAAUCAUAACUAAAUAUAGGAAAAUCAUUUUCAAGAAAUUCCAAUUCUGAGAUGAUCUUUAACAUGUCUACUGUAACUUUCAUGAAAACACCAAGUUCAAACAAUCAACCAAAUUGCAUAGUUUUCAGAGAGAAGCUAACUGGUUCAAAAUCUCAGAAAACAGUGAUCUGCGAAAAAUCAUAAUUUAAUCUAAAACAAUCAUUUUCAAGUGAUUCAAACUCUCAAACGAACCUUAAGAUGUCUUGUCAAGACCCACCCCGAAUUUCACCCUGAAACCCGAAGUAAAUCCUGCGGGGACCACCUCCAAGGAAAGUUUACCGAAAAUUCGGCAUAACCUCCCUUGAAAAUGGGCAACCCUUCCUAAUAAUACCUGCAUACGCUUCUGAAAAUCCAAAUCCAAUCUUAAACUCCUGGAGCCUUUGUGCUCCCCCAAAUCACAACAUCUCUCAAUUGAUUUACUAACUUUAAAAAGAAAAUCUCACAACCAACAACCACAGUUCAGAGCAACUCUAUUUGAGAGGAAAAGAACUAGUAAUUUAAAAAUGAGUGGAAGCUAUAUAUUGACUGUCACAUCCCGACCCUUAUAUUUUUACCUUGUUUACUAGCCUGAUUAUAAUAAGAAUUUUACCGUUUCCGUCAUUGAGUUAAUAGUUAAUUGGUCCCUAAAGGGGUUUCGGAGACGAUUAUGUGCGGAGGAUUAUUCGUAUGAGGAAAAUACGACAACGGUAAAAAUAGUAAAUUUUAGCUAGUAAAAGGUAAUUUUUAUUCGGGUAUUAUUUUUUCGGGGUGUUUUAUUUUUGUGGGAGUUGGGUAUAAGGGGGAGUUGGACCGGUUGGAGAGGCCCAACCCUUUUCCCUCUCUUCUCUNNNNNNNNNNNNNNNNNNNNGAGAUAGUUCCAUUGAUCAAAGAUCAUAACAACGAAAAUGGUCAAGCAUGAAUAGUUCGAGGACCAUUCAAGCAACAUAGCUAAAAACUAAAUACAGACUACAUCUAAGAAUUGAAAGAACAACCUCAAAACUACAUCCAAAAAGGUGGAUAUGACAAACUAAAAAGCAUAAAACCUUCUAAACUCCAACAACGACUCAACUUUCAAUCGAAUCAGGCCUAAGACCUAAUAGUGUAUCUUUUAUCGAAUUGAAAAGAAAGAGAGGAAUUGCUGGAGUUUAAAAGGGAUCUUUUCCCUAGCAAGCCCACAACAAAUCUAGUCAAGGCUUGGUCUAAGGUCAGACCAAACAAAGGAAGAGUGAUGAAAUGGGCCAAAUGGCAAAACCUAGCCCACAUAGCACCCUCCCCUCUGCCAGCUCCGACUGUCGCUGGAGCCGCCAUGCCGCCAGAUCAGUCCGGCGGUCUGCCAUGCCAUGAUAUCAUUGCUCCUCAGCCUUGUUGUGCCGCUGGAGACGAGCAAACACGGCUGCCCCUCCUUAGAACAAAAUCUGCUACCGCUGCAUUGAUUUGAUCUCCCAAGCAUUAUUCUCCUACCUCCUCCUCAAACCCAGAAACCAGAGCCGUCUAUUGCCGCAAAGCAACCUACCCUUCCGCUGUAACCAGCCACAGAUGACAAUGAUCAAACCCAAAGGCCUCACCUUCGCCGAAAGUCAAAAGCUUUGCCAACAAACAUGCACUCCGACUCCUUUUCACCACACAACAAUGACGUGCCGCCUUUAGACCUGGCGCCGAAGCAUCCUUUGCCCAGACGGAAGACCGAGAGGCCGCCGUUGCUCUUUUACGCGAAACCUAGGGUUUUGGUAUUGUUUUUCUAGCUUUGUACAAGUUUGAGUUCUUGUUACAAUGGUAAAACUAGGGGUGGGCAUGGGACGGGAUGGGACGGGAUAGAGCUAAUCCCACGGCCCGUCCCGGAUAUUGAAAUCGGGACGAGACAGGACGGGAUUUGCGUUUUUAAGAUUUCAUCCCACCCGGGCCCUAUCCCGGUUGGGACGGGACGGGACGGGACGGGCCUAAUCCCAGAUUAAAAAAGUUAAAAAUAAAUUUGUAAGUAAAGGAAAGAGUUUAAUAGUGCUCUUUACUCUAUUAAGUAUUAAGAAGUACUUGUAACAUAUUUACAAGUACAACACAGUAUAAUAAGAGAAUUUAUAUUGCUUAUUUUCUCUAAACCUGUCAUCACUACUACGGUGCAAGAAGAGAGUCUAUAACAAUCAACAAAUUAAAGUAUUAAACAUCACUAUUAUUGAAUUGGAGACAACCUAUUAACUUAAAGAAACAAAGAGUUAAGAUCAAAACACUUAAAUGAAAGCUUCAAAUCACAUAUUAAUUAAUAAAAAAUCAAUUAUUAAAAUAAUCGGGACGGGACGGGCCUAAAUGGGAUUUGAAUUAUCCGUCCCAUGUCCCGUCCCGUUGUAUAGGGAUGGGAUGGGACGGGACGGGACGGGCCGAACGUUUUAAUAUUUAAAUCCCGUCCCGUCCCGGCAAAUUUCAGGAUAGGACCGGGACGGGUUCGGGAUUACGGGAUUUUAUGCCCACCCCUAGGUAAAACAAGAAAUUAUGAAAGAAAAUUUUCCUCUUCUUAGUUUUAGCAUUAACUUUAAUAUUAAUAUUUAGGUUAUGUUAGAAAUUUGAAAUGAGGUUUAGUGAGAAAAUGAUUAUAUUGAAAAGUAAAAGAGAGGUGUAGAGAGAAUGAGAGGUAUAUUAAGCAAAUUUGGAGGUCUUAAUAGCCGCAUUUUACUUGUUAAUACCUUUGAAAUGCUAUUGUACUAUAUCAUACUCUUGACGAUUACGCUAUUAAGGUUAAGUUUGAGAAAAUACAAAGUCAUCACAGUAAACAUCUUUAACUUUGAAAUUUAAACUAUUAAAGGGAGUUAAAUGUAAUUGUCUGAAUUUCUCAAUUUUCAGAACUUUUGUUAGGAAAAACUCCCUUCAUUUUGCUACUAGUGAUUGUAUGAUUCAAAUUAGUGAAUUGAAAGUCAACCAGCUCGAACUUGUGUGUUUGAUACUUUGUAUAGUUAUGUAUAAAUAACUAAAACAAUUUCGACUUUUCUUCUGCCCGCAAUGUAUAAGCUAUAAUGAGAAGUGUUAGGAGGCUUAUUGAUGAUGGUGCGAUCGUGCCCAAAAUUCAGUUAGUACAACGAAAGGCGUCUCUCAACAUAAACAUUAUCAUCAACUGUUGAACAAAUUAUGAAAGCCUGUAUAUACAUCCACAACCCCAAGCUAGCCCUCUAGAUUUGGACAUUUGGUCGUGCCCAAAACUAAAAAGGUAACAUUUCCUAAACUAUAUCAAUUAUUGUCACAAUGUGGCCCCCUGCUUCGUCUAUCUAUGAUAAAUUUAGAAAACAUUUUCGUGUGGAUGAAAUUCAUGUAAUUUUCUACGGUUGUUGGUUAGGUCAAUGUACACCAAACUCUACAUUAUUUAAACCCCUAGGACCCAAAUUCCUCUAACCAAAAUGAAAUCUCCGACCAAUCAAAUAAUUUCUAUACAGAUUUUGUCACAUCCCGACCCUUAUAUUUUUUACCUUAUUUACUAGCCUGAUUAUAAUAAGAAUUUUACCGUCUUGAUCAUUGAGUAAAUAGUUUAAUUGAUCCCUAGAGGGGUUUCGGGGACGAUUAUGUGCGGAGGAUUAUUCGUAUGAGGAAAAUACGACGACGGUAAAAAUGGUAAAUUUUAGCUAGUAAAAGGUAAUUUUUAUUCGGGUAUUAUUUUUCGGGGUGUUUAAUUUUAGAAUUUGGAUAGUUUAUAAGUGAUGGACCGGUUUGGGGUGUGAGGCCCAAACCCAUUCUUUUUCCUCCCGAUUUUCUCUCCUCACCCGCUCCCGCAUUUGUCACACCCCAGGACCCAUUCCGCCGUAAUAUGAUAUUGUCCGCUUUGGGCCCACCGGCCCUCACGGUUUUGUUUCCGGCAGCUCAGGAGCAGCUUCCCAGUAGGUCACCCAUCUUGGGAUUGCUCUAGCAUCAACAUGCUUAACCUCGGAGUACCCAUCCCCUCUGAAGCCGCUGAGCCACCAAAAAGCCUCGUGUUAGAUUGGAGGUGGGCAUGUAUAUAUACAGCACAUAACCCCUCUCCGUUUGGCCUAUGUGGGAUAUUACAAUCCACCCCCCUUGGGAGUCCGACGCCCUCGUCGGCACACUCGCACCACACGGCAGAGUGGCUCUGAUACCAUUUGUCACACCCCAAGACCCAUUCCGCCGUAACACGAUAUUGUCCGCUUUGGGCCCACCGGCCCUCACGGUUUUGUUUCCGGCAGCUCAGGAGCAGCUUCCCAGUAGGUCACCCAUCCUGGGAUUGCUCUUGCAUCAACAUGCUUAACCUCGGAGUACCCAUCCCCUCCGAAGCCGCUGAGCCACCAAAAGACCUCGUGUUAGAUUGGAGGUGGGCAUGUAUAUAUACAACACAUAACCCCUCUCCGUUUGGCCGAUGUGGGAUAUUACAGAUUUCCUUAAGUAAAGGGGUAACACUCUGUUCAAUAAAAUUAGUAGGUUUUUGUAACCAACAUAUAAAAUUCUAUCUGGUCACUCAUGUUACAACACAAAAUUAUAAAAUAGUAAAAAUAACAGCAUCAAAAUAAGCCUCAAGCACACUCAACUGAUGGGAGCAAUAUCAUGGCCAUUUGAUAAUUGGUCUUUUAAAACUCGUGAUUAGCCACCUUAUCCUUUGUUAGAUUGAGAUUAGUUAGAAGAUUAGCACUAAUCAUGAGACAAUGUGCCAGACUGCCAGCUGGGGACUAGUUUGUGUGGCUGAGUGGCUAAUUGAGUAAUUAGAAACAAUAAUUUGGGAUAGAAUAUGAAUGAAAUAACCGGAGGCCAGUGGACUAUAUAUCUUGUGAGAGCCUAGAUGCCUAGUUGACAAUCUGAUAUGCUAAUAGGGGACACGUUGGCCAUUUGAGUGAUGACCACUCAAAAUGUUUUUUACGAGUUUUUUUUUUUCUUAUGGGACUACACAUUUCAUCAUUUAUAAAUGUAUAUUCUUUACUAGUUAAUUGUUUUCAGUUUUGAAUAAAAGUUGAUUCUUUAUUAAU
rnacentral:lncRNA from 1 species